rnacentral:rRNA from 1 species
GACGAACGCUGGCGGCGUGCUUAACACAUGCAAGUCGAACGAUGAAGCGCCAGCUUGCUGGUGUGGAUUAGUGGCGAACGGGUGAGUAACACGUGAGUAACCUGCCCCCUACUCUGGGAUAAGCCUGGGAAACUGGGUCUAAUACUGGAUAUGACCAAUCACUGCAUGGUGUGUUGGUGGAAAGAUUUUUUGGUGGGGGAUGGACUCGCGGCCUAUCAGCUUGUUGGUGGGGUAAUGGCCUACCAAGGCGACGACGGGUAGCCGGCCUGAGAGGGCGACCGGCCACACUGGGACUGAGACACGGCCCAGACUCCUACGGGAGGCAGCAGUGGGGAAUAUUGCACAAUGGGCGAAAGCCUGAUGCAGCGACGCCGCGUGAGGGAUGACGGCCUUCGGGUUGUAAACCUCCUUCACCAGGGACGAAGCUAACGUGACGGUACCUGGAGAAGAAGCACCGGCUAACUACGUG